rnacentral:rRNA from 1 species
GACGAACGCUGGCGGCGUGCUUAACACAUGCAAGUCGAACGGAAAGGCCCUGCUUAUGUGGCGUGCUCUAGUGGCGAACGGGUGAGUAACACGUGAGUACCCUGCCCUUCACUUUGGGAUAACUUCAUGAAACUGGGGCUAAUACCGGAUAGGCGCUCCUGCUGCAUGGUGGGGGUCGGAAAGUUUCGGCGGUUGGGGAUGGACUCGCGGCUUAUCAGCUUGUUGGUGGGGUAGUGGCUUACCAAGGCUUUGACGGGUAGCCGGCCUGAGAGGGUGACCGGCCACAUUGGGACUGAGAUACGGCACAGACUCCUAAGGGAGGCAGCAGUGGGGAAGAUUGCACAAUGGGCGGAAGCCGGAUGCAGCAACGCCGCGUGCGGGAUGACGGCCUUCUGGUUGUAAACCGCUUUCGCCUGUGACGAAGUGUGAGUGACGGUAAUGGGUAAAGAAGCACCGGCUAACUACGUG